UUCGGUCCUGCCACCCGGGGCCCGCGGGCGCCGAGCGGGCUCCGAAGGCGUUACCCUGACAGACGUUUUUGCCGCCCUUUUGUGAGCGUUUUUGAAGCGUUUCCUUGGCCCAGCAGUUUGGCCGGGAAAAGGGCAGAGGAGGAAGUUGAGAGCCAGAGGAGAAAAGUGAUCCGACUCCCAACCCAGGGCUCUUCCUGCCAUACUGCGGAAUGAGUGAGACCCAGCCACAGCAAUAAAAUGAUGGAC